rnacentral:rRNA from 1 species
UACAGAGGGUGCAAGCGUUGUUCGGAAUUAUUGGGCGUAAAGCGCGUGUAGGCGGCUUUGCAAGUCGGGUGUGAAAGCCCUCGGCUCAACCGAGGAAGUGCGCCCGAAACUGCAGAGCUUGAGUACCGGAGAGGAUGGCGGAAUUCCCCAAGUAGAGGUGAAAUUCGUAGAUAUGGGGAGGAACACCGGUGGCGAAGGCGACCACCUGGACAAAGACUGACGCUGAGGUGCGAAAGCGUGGGGAGCAAACAGG